UUGCAACCAACAUCUUCCUAGCAUGCCUGGAUCUGCUCUAACUCUAUGCGUUCCUACAGAGCUUGCUGGAAUAGUUCUAAAAUGGUUUGAGGCCUUGCCCUGCCCCAUCUAGACCAAGGUUAUCGAAGUUUUAGUAAAUU
ensembl:snoRNA